rnacentral:rRNA from 1 species
AACGAACGCUGGCGGCAGGCCUUACACAUGCAAGUCGAGCGCACCUUCGGGUGAGCGGCGGACGGGUUAGUAACGCGUGGGAACGUGCCCUUCUCUACGGAAUAGCCUCUGGAAACGGAGAGUAAUACCGUAUACGCCCUUUGGGGGAAAGAUUUAUCGGAGAAGGAUCGGCCCGCGUUAGAUUAGGUAGUUGGUGGGGUAACGGCCUACCAAGCCUACGAUCUAUAGCUGGUUUUAGAGGAUGAUCAGCAACACUGGGACUGAGACACGGCCCAGACUCCUACGGGAGGCAGCAGUGGGGAAUUUUCCGCAAUGGGCGAAAGCCUGACGGAGCAACGCCGCGUGAGGGAUGAAGGCCUCUGGGCUGUAAACCUCUUUUAUCAAGGAAGAAGAUCUGACGGUACUUGAUGAAUAAGCCACGGCUAAUUCCGUG